rnacentral:lncRNA from 1 species
UCUCCACAGUCAAGUAUUCCUACCAUUGCAAAAUUCUUGGUGUUUACUGGCAAUGCCUAUCCUAUUACAACCUGAGCUUUUGUGUAUAGGUUCUAAGUUUUCCCAGAUUUAACUGAACUUCAUAGUUAUCCACCCUAUGACUAAAUCAUGAAGACUGUCACAGAAUUAAGACAGCUAAAAUCAGGAAAGCAGAUGUAGAGGCAUUAGAAAGAAGAUAGAGGUGGACCCUUCCUUCUGCUUGUUGUCAGGAACAUUGCUGCAAGUGGAAGGGGAAAAUGCCAGGAGAAGAU